AAAGUUUGCGCAGCGCUGUUGCGUGCUAAUUAGCAUCGAACGAUAACGCAGAUAACGAUUUCGUCGAUUGGUUCGAUUCAUAUGUACCUAUUUAGUUGUUACGUUGUGUAUUCACCAUUCAUAUGGUGAUUCCUAUAAAACAGUUUGUUUUAUUAGUAAAAUAAUAAUAAUAUAAAAAAAUUUGUUUGUGGGUUGGAAUUUCCUUGAUUUGAGGUUAUAAAUCAACAAAAAAUGGCUACUCCAAGCAAUCAAAUCACCAUAAACGAUCUGCCAUUGACUUUCAAUGGAAAAUAUUUAGGAAGUUGCAGAGCAGCUGGUGCCUGGGGUGUAAAAUUUAUUCGAAAACCAUUGGAUCUUCUUGUUGAGACAGCAAAGUCCUCCCGUCAAAAUUUAUCACAGGUAGAGCUGAAAGUGAUAAUCGAUGGAUUGGAGAUCACGCAGUUGAUUAAAGAUAAAGACAGCGUUACUGUUUCUUACAAAAUCGAAACAAUCACGUACGGAGUGCAAGAUGUCAACUUCUCAAGAAUUUUCUGUAUUAUUAUUACAAGACCUGAAGCCAAAAUAGAUGAGCAAUAUAUGUUGCACGCAUUUGUUUGCCCCUCGAAGCAUGUUGCUCGUCAGAUUACGUUUGCUCUGGGAGCAGCAUUCAAACAUCUCGCCGAGACGAUGAAAUCCAAGGCAGAGGCAAAUAAGUUAAAGCAAACAAUUCAACUUAGCAAGGACACCGAGGAUAGCGAUGACAGUGAGGCUGAUGCAUAAACAUAACCUUACUUAACUAUAUAUUAUUACAUAUGUAGCGUCUGAUAACACCAUGUUUUAAAAUUACAUUUUGAUGAGUUA